rnacentral:rRNA from 1 species
UACGGAGGUUGCGAGCGUUGUUCGGAAUAACUGGGCGUAAAGGGAGCGCAGGCGGUUCGGCAAGUCUAAAGUGGAAGCCCGGGGCUUAACCUCGGAAGUGCUUUGGAUACUACCGAGCUCGAGUUCGUGAGAGGAAAGCGGAAUUCCAGGUGUAGCGGUGAAAUGCGUAGAUAUCUGGAGGAACACCGGUGGCGAAAGCGGCUUUCUAGCACGAUACUGACGCUGAGGCUCGAAAGCGUGGGUAGCAAACGGGAUUAGAUACCCCGGUAGUCCACGCCGUAAACGUUGUGCACUAGGUGUGGGAGGUAUCGACCCCUUCCGUGCCGCAGCUAACGCAUUAAGUGCACCGCCUGGGGAGUACGGUCGCAAGACUGAA